rnacentral:rRNA from 1 species
UACGUAGGGUGCGAGCGUUGUCCGGAAUUAUUGGGCGUAAAGCGCGCGCAGGCGGUCAUUUAAGUCUGGUGUUUAAACCUUGGGCUCAACCUGGGGUCGCACUGGAAACUGGGUGACUUGAGUACAGAAGAGGAAAGUGGAAUUCCACGUGUAGCGGUGAAAUGCGUAGAUAUGUGGAGGAACACCAGUGGCGAAGGCGACUUUCUGGGCUGUAACUGACGCUGAGGCGCGAAAGCGUGGGGAGCAAACAGG